rnacentral:rRNA from 1 species
UACGAAGGGGGGCUAGCGUUGUUCGGAAUUACUGGGCGUAAAGGGCGCGUAGGCGGCCGAUCAAGUCAGAUGUGAAAAGUCCUGGGCUUAACCUGGGGACUGCAUUUGAUACUGAUUGGCUUGAAUGCAGGAGAGGAUAGCGGAAUUCCCAGUGUAGAGGUGAAAUUCGUAGAUAUUCGGAAGAACACCAGUGGCGAAGGCGGCUCACUGGACUGGUAUUGACGCUGAGGUGCGAAAGCGUGGGGAGCAAACAGG